rnacentral:rRNA from 2 species
AAAUUGAAGAGUUUGAUCAUGGCUCAGAUUGAACGCUGGCGGCAGGCCUAACACAUGCAAGUCGAACGGUAACAGGAAGCAGCUUGCUGCUUCGCUGACGAGUGGCGGACGGGUGAGUAAUGUCUGGGAAACUGCCUGAUGGAGGGGGAUAACUACUGGAAACGGUGGCUAAUACCGCAUAACGUCGCAAGACCAAAGAGGGGGACCUUCGGGCCUCUUGCCAUCAGAUGUGCCCAGAUGGGAUUAGCUUGUUGGUGAGGUAACGGCUCACCAAGGCGACGAUCCCUAGCUGGUCUGAGAGGAUGACCAGCCACACUGGAACUGAGACACGGUCCAGACUCCUACGGGAGGCAGCAGUGGGGAAUAUUGCACAAUGGGCGCAAGCCUGAUGCAGCCAUGCCGCGUGUAUGAA